GGGCGGUUAGCUCAGUUGGGAGAGCGUCUGGUUUACACCCAGAAGGUCGGGGGUUCGAACCCCUCACCGCCCACCA
rnacentral:tRNA from 2 species